AUGAACUUGACGUAACGUAUUUUAGGAAAAAAGAAACAAUUGGUAGCAAGGGGUAAAAGAGUAAUUAAAGUCAACCCGAAGCGCAGAUGCACUCGCUCGCAGGCGUAGUGGGCAACGAAAUAAGGAAACUGGAGUGUUAGAAACUGCAUCAGUCACCAACACUGUUGCGCACUCGGAUCCCGCGACCCGCCCAAUUCCAACUGUAGACAACUGACGGAUUUGGAUCGUAAUUAGUGUAUAGAACAAAGUAAGACGGCUCGGAAACCGGUUCGGGUCACUGUAGAUUCUGGUGCCCGAGGAUCCGAGUAUGGAUGUGUUGCAGGAAUCGGGCUGGGAAGAGCUCCGGAAAGAGGCUCGGAAAAUCGAAGGCGAUCUAGAUGUCAAGCUCUCGUCGUAUGCUAAGCUCGGCGCGCGUUUCACGCAAGGAGGAUUUGUCGAUGCUGGUUCACCAACUCUUGGGUCCAGCAGGUCGUGGAAGUCUAUGGAAAUGGAGAUUCAGUCAUUGCUUGAGAAGUUGCUGGAUAUAAAUGAUUCAAUGAGUCGGUGUGCUGCAUCUGCAGGGCCUGCUACUUCGGUUACUCAAAAGCUUGCAAGGCAUAGAGACAUAUUGCAUGAGUUUACGCAGGAAUUUAGACGUAUCAAGGGAAAUAUUAGCUCAAUGAGGGAACAUGCUGAACUUCUUAGUUCUGUUCGAGAUGAUAUCAGUGAGUACAAGGCUUCUGGGAAUGGGUCUCCAAGAAUGCAUUUGCUACGGGAAAGAGCUGCGAUACAUGGAAGCAUAUCUCAUAUUGAUGAUGUGAUUAGUCAAGCUCAAGCGACCAGAGCUGUCUUGGGCUCUCAAAGGGCCUUGUUUGGAGAUGUUCAAGGAAAAGUCAAGCUACUGGGUGACAAAUUUCCGGUCAUUCGUGGUCUAAUUGGUUCUAUCCGAAGAAAACGAUCAAGGGACACUCUCAUCCUCUCUGCAGUUAUUGCUGCUUGUACACUUUUCCUCAUCAUCUAUUGGCUUUCAAAGUGAAGGGACACUUGAUCUAUUCCGAUAACUGAAGGAAAAGAGGCUCUCUGAGCAAAUUUCCAGGCGUAGUUUAUCAGAACAAAAUUCUUUUCAAGUUCAACAGUCUGUGACCUGCCUAUUUCACGUUGUCUUAGCCAAUACUCUUUACAUGUACAGAAAGAAUGGUGCCAUUUUAGGGUAACUGUACCAGUUCCCAGCUGCUCCACCAAAGACGCCGACUUUGAAGUGUCUUGGAUCUUUCUUCUUGUCUUUGUUAUCUUUGAUCUAUGUGUGAACUUUUCCAGAACAUCCGAAUCUGCACCAAGUAUCAUGUUGUGUGCCAAUAUCUGACUAGAACUUGUAGAAGAUAAUAGCAUAUGUUUAUAAUUUUGAACAAUUCUGUGUAGUUACACUUCAUUGGACUGAUAGAGCUGUUGAAGGUACCAAUACAUUGUAUCGCUGUGGACUUACUGUUCCUGCAAUUAAAAUCAAGUCGUGACAGUCUGUAGCUGGUAACCCAA